UGCAUAUCAAUAAGCGGAGGAAAAGAAACUAACAAGGAUUCCCCUAGUAACUGCGAGUGAAGCGGGAAAAGCUCAAAUUUAAAAUCUGGCGGUCUCUGGCCGUCCGAGUUGUAAUCUAGAGAAGUGUUAUCCGCGCUGGACCGUGUACAAGUCUCCUGGAAUGGAGCGUCAUAGAGGGUGAGAAUCCCGUCUUUGACACGGACUGCCAGGGCUUUGUGAUGCGCUCUCAAAGAGUCGAGUUGUUUGGGAAUGCAGCUCAAAAUGGGUGGUAAAUUCCAUCUAAAGCUAAAUAUUGGCGAGAGAUCGAUAGCGAACAAGUACCGUGAGGGAAAGAUGAAAAGAACUUUGGAAAGAGAGUUAAACAGUACGUGAAAUUGCUGAAAGGGAAACGCUUGAAGUCAGUCGCGUUGGCCGGGGAUCAACCUUGCUUUUGCUGGGCGUACUUUCCGGUUGACGGGUCAGCAUCAAUUUUGACCGUUGGAUAAAGUCCAGGGGAAUGUGGCAUCUUCGGAUGUGUUAUAGCCCUUGGUCGCAUACAACGGUUGGGAUUGAGGAACUCAGCACGCCGCAAGGCCGGGUACUUGUACCACGUUCGUGCUUAGGAUGCU
rnacentral:rRNA from 1 species